rnacentral:tRNA from 1 species
UUGCUGCGCAGUUCGGCCCAUUUGAUCAGCGCCUUGUCGCGGCGCGACAGUUCCGGGCGCAGCGGAAGCGGCGUA